GACGAACGCUGGCGGCGUGCUUAACACAUGCAAGUCGAACGGAAAGGCUCCAGCUUGCUGGAGUACUCGAGUGGCGAACGGGUGAGUAACAAGUGGGUAAUCUGCCCUGCACUCUGGGAUAAGCCUGGGAAACUGGGUCUAAUACUGGAUAUGACCUUUCUCCUUAUGGGGAUUGGUGGAAAGUUUUUCGGUGUAGGAUGAGCCCGCGGCCUAUCAGCUUGUUGGUGGGGUGAUGGCAUACCAAGGCGACGACGGGUAGCCGGCCUGAGAGGGUGAUCGGCCACAUUGGGACUGAGAUACGGCCCAGACUCCUACGGGAGGCAGCAGUGGGGAAUAUUGCACAAUGGGCGGAAGCCUGAUGCAGCGACGCCGCGUGAGGGAUGACGGCCUUCGGGUUGUAAACCUCUUUCAGCAGGGACGAAGCGUAAGUGACGGUACCUGCAGAAGAAGCACCGGAUAACUAUGUG
rnacentral:rRNA from 1 species